rnacentral:tRNA from 1 species
GAGGGUGUAGCUCAAUAGCAGAGUGCUAGCAAGCAUGAGGUCCUGGGUUCAAUCCCCAGUACCUCCA